GCCCUUGUAGCUCAAUUGGUAGAGCAGCUCCCUUUUAAGGAGUUGGUUCCGCGUUCGAGUCGCGGCAAGGGCACAA
rnacentral:tRNA from 2 species